rnacentral:rRNA from 1 species
AGCGUACACGGUGGAUGCCCUGGCAGUCAGAGGCGAUGAAGGACGUGCUAAUCUGCGAUAAGCGUCGGUAAGGUGAUAUGAACCGUUAUAACCGGCGAUUUCCGAAUGGGGAAACCCAGUGUGUUUCGACACACUAUCAUUAACUGAAUCCAUAGGUUAAUGAGGCGAACCGGGGGAACUGAAACAUCUAAGUACCCCGAGGAAAAGAAAUCAACCGAGAUUCCCCCAGUAGCGGCGAGCGAACGGGGAGCAGCCCAGAGCCUGAAUCAGUGUGUGUGUUAGUGGAAGCGUCUGGAAAGGCGCGCGAUACAGGGUGACAGCCCCGUACACAAAAAUGCACAUGCUGUGAGCUCGAUGAGUAGGGCGGGACACGUGGUAUCCUGUCUGAAUAUGGGGGGACCAUCCUCCAAGGCUAAAUACUCCUGACUGACCGAUAGUGAACCAGUACCGUGAGGGAAAGGCGAAAAGAACCCCGGCGAGGGGAGUGAAAAAGAACCUGAAACCGUGUACGUACAAGCAGUGGGAGCACGCUUAGGCGUGUGACUGCGUACCUUUUGUAUAAUGGGUCAGCGACUUAUAUUCUGUAGCAAGGUUAACCGAAUAGGGGAGCCGAAGGGAAACCGAGUCUUAACUGGGCGUUAAGUUGCAGGGUAUAGACCCGAAACCCGGUGAUCUAGCCAUGGGCAGGUUGAAGGUUGGGUAACACUAACUGGAGGACCGAACCGACUAAUGUUGAAAAAUUAGCGGAUGACUUGUGGCUGGGGGUGAAAGGCCAAUCAAACCGGGAGAUAGCUGGUUCUCCCCGAAAGCUAUUUAGGUAGCGCCUCGUGAAUUCAUCUCCGGGGGUAGAGCACUGUUUCGGCAAGGGGGUCAUCCCGACUUACCAACCCGAUGCAAACUGCGAAUACCGGAGAAUGUUAUCACGGGAGACACACGGCGGGUGCUAACGUCCGUCGUGAAGAGGGAAACAACCCAGACCGCCAGCUAAGGUCCCAAAGUCAUGGUUAAGUGGGAAACGAUGUGGGAAGGCCCAGACAGCCAGGAUGUUGGCUUAGAAGCAGCCAUCAUUUAAAGAAAGCGUAAUAGCUCACUGGUCGAGUCGGCCUGCGCGGAAGAUGUAACGGGGCUAAACCAUGCACCGAAGCUGCGGCAGCGACGCUGAUGCGUUGUUGGGUAGGGGAGCGUUCUGUAAGCCUGCGAAGGUGUGCUGUGAGGCAUGCUGGAGGUAUCAGAAGUGCGAAUGCUGACAUAAGUAACGAUAAAGCGGGUGAAAAGCCCGCUCGCCGGAAGACCAAGGGUUCCUGUCCAACGUUAAUCGGGGCAGGGUGAGUCGACCCCUAAGGCGAGGCCGAAAGGCGUAGUCGAUGGGAAACAGGUUAAUAUUCCUGUACUUGGUGUUACUGCGAAGGGGGGACGGAGAAGGCUAUGUUGGCCGGGCGACGGUUGUCCCGGUUUAAGCGUGUAGGCUGGUUUUCCAGGCAAAUCCGGAAAAUCAAGGCUGAGGCGUGAUGACGAGGCACUACGGUGCUGAAGCAACAAAUGCCCUGCUUCCAGGAAAAGCCUCUAAGCAUCAGGUAACAUCAAAUCGUACCCCAAACCGACACAGGUGGUCAGGUAGAGAAUACCAAGGCGCUUGAGAGAACUCGGGUGAAGGAACUAGGCAAAAUGGUGCCGUAACUUCGGGAGAAGGCACGCUGAUAUGUAGGUGAAGUCCCUCGCGGAUGGAGCUGAAAUCAGUCGAAGAUACCAGCUGGCUGCAACUGUUUAUUAAAAACACAGCACUGUGCAAACACGAAAGUGGACGUAUACGGUGUGACGCCUGCCCGGUGCCGGAAGGUUAAUUGAUGGGGUCAGCGCAAGCGAAGCUCUUGAUCGAAGCCCCGGUAAACGGCGGCCGUAACUAUAACGGUCCUAAGGUAGCGAAAUUCCUUGUCGGGUAAGUUCCGACCUGCACGAAUGGCGUAAUGAUGGCCAGGCUGUCUCCACCCGAGACUCAGUGAAAUUGAACUCGCUGUGAAGAUGCAGUGUACCCGCGGCAAGACGGAAAGACCCCGUGAACCUUUACUAUAGCUUGACACUGAACAUUGAGCCUUGAUGUGUAGGAUAGGUGGGAGGCUUAGAAGUGUGGACGCCAGUCUGCAUGGAGCCGACCUUGAAAUACCACCCUUUAAUGUUUGAUGUUCUAACGUUGACCCGUAAUCCGGGUUGCGGACAGUGUCUGGUGGGUAGUUUGACUGGGGCGGUCUCCUCCUAAAGAGUAACGGAGGAGCACGAAGGUUGGCUAAUCCUGGUCGGACAUCAGGAGGUUAGUGCAAUGGCAUAAGCCAGCUUGACUGCGAGCGUGACGGCGCGAGCAGGUGCGAAAGCAGGUCAUAGUGAUCCGGUGGUUCUGAAUGGAAGGGCCAUCGCUCAACGGAUAAAAGGUACUCCGGGGAUAACAGGCUGAUACCGCCCAAGAGUUCAUAUCGACGGCGGUGUUUGGCACCUCGAUGUCGGCUCAUCACAUCCUGGGGCUGAAGUAGGUCCCAAGGGUAUGGCUGUUCGCCAUUUAAAGUGGUACGCGAGCUGGGUUUAGAACGUCGUGAGACAGUUCGGUCCCUAUCUGCCGUGGGCGCUGGAGAACUGAGGGGGGCUGCUCCUAGUACGAGAGGACCGGAGUGGACGCAUCACUGGUGUUCGGGUUGUCAUGCCAAUGGCACUGCCCGGUAGCUAAAUGCGGAAGAGAUAAGUGCUGAAAGCAUCUAAGCACGAAACUUGCCCCGAGAUGAGUUCU